GGUAUAACACGAGGUGGUUAGCGGUCGUCGUUGGAGGUGGUUUGAGGUGGUUAUGGGAUGGUUGCGGGUGAUCGAGGAUUCCAAGUAUUUGACAACAGUGAUACCUUAUCACAUGGACAAUGGCCCACCUCAUAAUCAAGCUUUACAAGUCCUCACUAGGAUAUUAAAGGCUAUUAAUCAGGAUAGUCCAACGGUGCCCACAUUAUUAACGGACUACAUAUUGAAAGGUGGGUUGAUUUCUUUCACCUUGUCUUGAAUCCGUGCGAGAUAAACACUUGUAUAUUUCACGGUCCAGUUAUUAUCAUGAGGUUGAAGUUCGUAAUGUUAUUCAAGCGAUGAAUUUUUAGAAAAACUUGGAAUACAACUUCAGGAUUGUCUGAAAAUAAGUAAACCGUAAUAAACCAAAUAGUAAUCAUAUCAAGUUAUCAGUAAUAAGCAAUUGCGGGUAAAUUAUUAGCUUACUUUUGUGAAUAUUUAUGAAUAUAGUCUCUAUGAAUG